CCAACGGUCCUCUUAAGGACCACUAAAAAAAUUAUUUACUUACUUU
rfam:Strongyloides ratti strain ED321 Heterogonic genome assembly, chromosome: 2